UAAACUUGGGAAAAAAUGGUC
rnacentral:piRNA from 1 species